GGAGAGAUGGCUGAGUGGACUAAAGCGUCGGAUUGCUAAUCUGUUGUACGAAUUAUUCGUACCGAGGGUUCGAAUCCCUCUCUCUCCGACCCCCU
rnacentral:tRNA from 1 species